rnacentral:rRNA from 13 species
UGGAAUGCUUAACCAAAGAAAGUGAUAGUCUUGUAGUCGAAAAUUGAAAUAAUCAAAUUGAAUCCCAAGUAGCAUGGAGCACGUGAAAUUCCGUGUGAAUCUGCGAGGACCACCUCGUAAGGCUAAAUAUUCCUGAAUGACCGAUAGUGAAACAGUACCGUGAGGGAAAGGUGAAAAGAACCCCGGGAGGGGAGUGAAAAGAACAUGAAACCAUAAACUUACAAUCAGUAGGAGGACGACUAAAACGUCUGACUUCGUGCCUGUUGAAGAAUGAGCCGGCGACUUAUAAGUAGUGGCAGGUUAAAGCAGAGAAUGCUGAAGCCAUAGUGAAAGCGAGCCUGAAUAGGGCAUAUGUCACUGGUUAUAGACCCGAACCCGGAUGAUCUAACCAUGGUCAGGUUGAAGCUUAGGUAAUACUAAGUGGAGGACCGAACCGACUGAUGUUGAAAAAUCAGCGGAUGAACUGUGGUUAGGGGUGAAAUGCCAAUCGAAUUCGGAGCUAGCUGGUUCUCCCCGAAAUGCGUUUAGGCGCAGCGAUAAAUGUUAUAACUUAGGGGUAAAGCACUGUUACGUAUGCGGGCUGGUAAUUCGGUACCAAAUCGUUGCAAACUAAGAAUACUAAGUGGAAAGUUUAUCAGUGAGACUGUGGGGGAUAAGCUCCAUUGUCAAGAGGGAAACAGCCCAGAGCACCAGUUAA